CCAAGGUCGAGUAACCUUAACUUAAACACAAAUCAUAAGCUAUCUAUCAGAUAAGAUAUUAUUCAACUAUACUAUUACAAAAUAGCCGUACAAUUUAUCCCAAGCUGUACUUGGCAUUAACCUUUUCCUGUAUCCGAACGCAUUCGCCUUAUCUGCAAUGUUUAUCAUGAUAUAGCAAGGGUGAGCAUGAAAGUUGCCCAGCAAGUUUAAAUACAACAAUAUAAAGAUAUAUCAUGAUUGAAGAGUAUGAAUAAUAAGCUGGCUAUAAUUCAUCAAUAUAAUUGAGAACUAGCAGGAACAAACUUUUGACUGAACAAGUUUUAAACAUGAACAAACAUUUCUGAACCAACUGGUAAUGAAGGUGAUCAGCCUUUCAUACCUGACUUAUACAUGCAAGAUGUACAGAGUACAAUUUUCAUGGCAAUCAGCAAUGAUUAACCAUAAGCUUGAAU
rnacentral:lncRNA from 1 species